rnacentral:rRNA from 1 species
UACGGAGGGGGCUAGCGUUAAUCGGACUUACUGGGCGUAAAGCGUGCGCAGACGGUUGCGUAAGUCAGAUGUGAAAGCCCCGGGCUCAACCUGGGAAUUGCAUUUGAGACUGCAUAGCUAGAGUGCGGAAGAGGGAAGCGGAAUUUCCGGUGUAGCGGUGAAAUGCGUAGAUAUCGGAAGGAACACCAGUGGCGAAAGCGGCUUCCUGGUCCAGCACCGACGUUCAGGCACGAAAGCGUGGGGAGCAAACAGG